rnacentral:rRNA from 1 species
ACGCUCGACACCUACGGUAGGCAGCAGUGGGGAAUAUUGCACAAUGGGGGAAACCCUGAUGCAGCGACGCCGCGUGAGCGAAGAAGUAUUUCGGUAUGUAAAGCUCUAUCAGCAGGGAAGAAAGUGACGGUACCUGACUAAGAAGCACCGGCUAAAUACGUGCAGCAGCCGCGGUAAUCUGAGCGGGCUGGCAAGGC